rnacentral:misc_RNA from 1 species
UGUAUGAAUGUAUGUAUGCAUAUUGGCAGGAACAAUUUGGGCGUCUGGGAGGCUUGGCUGGGAUGGAUUUGGCAGGACAGAGGACACCGCCAUCUAUCGCCAACUUGCAGCAUUUGUUACGUCCUCCCACGAAGUCCCAUCCUCGCUCUACUCAUCCCGGCGGUCACUGUGGUUGUAGUCUGCUUACCACACCCACAGCUGCAACAUUCUCACCUGCCAAUCGAGCCAACAGCAAGUAUGGAGGGUAUACUGGCACAAGCAAAUCUAGGUGUGCUGAAGGAACCAAGAGGCUUCAUCAAGGUUCUAGAGUUUGUGUUCAGCAUCUGUGCAUUUGCUACCACAACAAGCUUCUCAUCAUAUUUCACCCUGCAAGUGUUGUGCACUCCCUCAGAUGAAAAGCCUAGUGAAACUUUCACAGGGCAAAUUACAUAUCCAUUUCAGAUUGACAGGAUUCAGGACACAUUUCCUGCAUGUAAUGCCUCUGAAUGGAAACUGUAUGUGGAGGGAGACUUCUCAUCUGAUGCCAAAUUUUUUGUUGCUGUUGGUGUCCUGGCAUUCCUCUAUGUUCUUGUAGCACUUGGCCUGUACUGCUUCUUCAAUGCUCUUUAUGAAAACAACGACUUAGUCCCCAUAGGGGACUUUGCUCUACAUGUGAUAUUUGCCAUCUUGUGGUUUGCUGCAAGUUGUGCAUGGGCAAACAGCCUCACUGGUCUGCGUAAUGCUGCUGAACUUGAUAAUAUUCUGAAAUAUAAUGAUGUGUGUAAGAAACUCAAAUGUGUUAAAGUGGCAGAAGCUCGCUUUGGCAAACUUAUCAGCUCUGUUAUUUUUGGCUUCCUGAAUGUCUUUAUCUGGGCAAGCAACUUAUGGUUUUUGUACAAGGAAACAAGAUUUUAUAAGGACAGGAAGGCUGGUGAAGCAACUAAUGCCACAAACUGACUUAUUUAAGGAUGAAAGAUUGCUUGGAAAAGUUAGGAAAACCAAACAGUACUUCAAGCAUAGUGAUGUAGUAAAGCUGCAGUGUUUCAGCUUGCUGGAAGGAGCAAGUGCUUAAUGAUGACAUGCAUCACAGAAGACCAACCUUGACUUAAACCUAGUCAUGUCAUUAGCUAUAAGAAUCAAGAAAUAUAUUAUUUCCAAUCCAAUGCUUAGUUAACAAUUAUGACACCCAAUUCCAUGUUGUCCUUAAGUAUUUUGCUUAUCCCCUAUUUGAGAUUUAUGUGAAUAUAUUUUGCCCAAAUCCAUUGAAACAAUUUUCUAUGUGUAUUGCCAAUCCAAAUCUUCUUGUAAUGCUUCAAAGGAGUUAAUAUUUAUAGUUCACUUUAUCAGCUUAGAAGAGUUUGCAAACAUUCAUGUAACUGUGUAGUAUUAUUGUUGCAAAUCUUCAACCAUAGACUAUUAUAUAUAUAGUAGUCUAUGCUUCAACCUUUCCUUUUUCUUUUUGUGAUAUUCUAAAGUCAUUCCUUAUAAUGUACUGAUGCUAUAUGAGGCCUUUUACAGAAGAACAAGCCAACAUCAGAAGAAAUACUCUUGAGUUGUACAAUUUUCAUAAACUCGAUAUUUCAACCAAUAAUGAACAUCUAUAGUCUGACCAGCCUUAAUUUACGGCUGUGGGGGCGAGCGUCUCUGUGCAGUGUUGCCACGUUUUCACUACUGUUGUUCUCUCUCUCUCUCUCUCUCUCUCUCUCUCUCUCUCUCUCUCUCU